rnacentral:rRNA from 1 species
AGGUCAAGCUACAAAGGGCGCAUGGUGAAUGCCUUGGCACUAGGAGCCGAAGAAGGACGCGAUAAGCUGCGAUAAGCCUUGGGUAGCCGCAAAUAGGCUGAGAUCCAGGGAUUUCCGAAUGAGGAAACUCACAUGGGUAACCCCAUGUAUUAUGCACUGAAUACAUAGGUGUAUAAGGGUAAACCCGGGGAACUGAAACAUCUAAGUACCCGGAGGAAGAGAAAGAAAAAUCGAUUUCCUAAGUAGCGGCGAGCGAACGGGAAAGAGCCCAAACCAGAAACUUGUUUCUGGGGUUGUGGAUAGAUCAUAAAAGAAGAGGUAUCUUAAUCGAAGAGGGCUGGAACGCCCUACCAUAGAAGGUAAUAGUCCUGUAGGUAAAAAGAGAAAACUUCGAGAUCUAAUCCAGAGUACCACGAGACACGUGAAACCUUGUGGGAAGCAGGGAGGACCACCUCCCAAGGCUAAAUACUACCUAGUGACCGAUAGUGAAGCAGUACCGUGAGGGAAAGGUGAAAAGAACCCCGGAAGGGGAGUGAAAUAGAACCUGAAACCGUGUGCCUACAACCGAUCGGAGCACGUUAAAGUGUGACGAUGUGCUUUUUGUAGAACGAGCCAGCGAGUUACGCUAUGUAGCAAGGUUAAGUACUUAAGGUAUGGAGCCGAAGGGAAACCGAGUCUGAAAAGGGCGAAAAGUUGCAUGGUGUAGACCCGAAACCGGGUGACCUAUCCAUGGCCAGGUUGAAGCGAGAGUAAAAUCUCGUGGAGGACCGAACCACGUUGGUGUUGAAAAACCAUGGGAUGAGCUGUGGAUAGCGGAGAAAUUCCAAUCGAACUCGGAGAUAGCUGGUUCUCCUCGAAAUAGCUUUAGGGCUAGCGUCGUGUAAUUGAGUAAUGGAGGUAGAGCACUGAAUGGGCUAGGGGCUAUAGUAGUUACCGAACCCUAUCAAACUCCGAAUGCCAUAUACUUGUAUCACGGCAGUCAGACUGCGAAUGAUAAGAUCCGUAGUCAAAAGGGAAACAGCCCAGACCAUCAGCUAAGGUCCCAAAGUGUAAGUUAAGUGGAAAAGGAUGUGGGAUUUCUAAGACAACUAGGAUGUUGGCUUAGAAGCAGCCACUCAUUUAAAGAGUGCGUAAUAGCUCACUAGUCAAGAGAUCCUGCGCCGAAGAUGUCCGGGGCUCAAACUUACCACCGAAGCUAUGGGUGUACACUAUGUGUACGCGGUAGAGGAGCUUUCUGUAUGGGUUGAAGUCGUACCGUAAGGAGCGGUGGACUGUACAGAAGUGAGAAUGCUGGCAUAAGUAGCGAGAAAUAAGUGAGAAUCUUAUUGGCCGAAAACCUAAGGUUUCCUGAGGAAGGUUCGUCCGCUCAGGGUUAGUCGGGACCUAAGCCGAGGCCGAAAGGCGUAGGUGAUGGACAAUCGGUUGAUAUUCCGAUACCACCUAUUUACGUUUGAGAAAUGGGGUGACGCAGUAGGAUAAGAUGUGCGCACUAUUGGAUGUGCGUCUAAGCACUUAGGCAUGCUUGAUAGGCAAAUCCGUCGAGCUAAGCUGAGGUGUGAUGGGGAGCCAUUUAUGGCGAAGUAUCUGAUUCCACACUGCCAAGAAAAGCCUCUAUCGAGUGAAUAGGUGCCCGUACCGCAAACCGACACAGGUAGGUGAGGAGAGAAUCCUAAGGCCAUCGGAAGAAUUGCUGUUAAGGAACUCGGCAAAUUGACCCCGUAACUUCGGGAGAAGGGGUGCCUACGAAAGUAGGCCGCAGAGAAUAGGCCCAAGCAACUGUUUAGCAAAAACACAGGUCUCUGCUAAAGCGAAAGCUGAUGUAUAGGGGCUGACGCCUGCCCGGUGCUGGAAGGUUAAGGGGAACACUUAGCGUAAGCGAAGGUGUGAACUUAAGCCCCAGUAAACGGCGGCCGUAACUAUAACGGUCCUAAGGUAGCGAAAUUCCUUGUCGGGUAAGUUCCGACCCGCACGAAUGGCGUAAUGAUUUGGGCACUGUCUCAACAGCAAAUCCGGCGAAAUUGUAGUGCAAGUGAAGAUGCUUGCUACCCGCGAUUGGACGGAAAGACCCCGUAGAGCUUUACUGUAGCUUAGCAUUGAAUCUCGGUAUUGUCUGUACAGGAUAGGUGGGAGACUUGGAA